rnacentral:lncRNA from 1 species
CAAUAAAACAUAGAUCGAGUGGCAUUCGAUAAUGUAAAGUAAAGUGACACUAGAGUUGGUGUGUGUAGCAUCAAAGAGAAAUGUGACGCAAAGAAUAAUGAUAAUGAUUAGAGACAGAUAAAGAAAAUGAAAGUGGCAUAAAGAAUGAGUAAAGCUAAAGAACAAAGAAUGCUAGAGUUAGCAAAAUAAAGUGAUGUAAAGAACACUAGAGUUAGUGAAUUGACAUGGUCAAAGAUAAAGAAUGCAAAGAACAUGAGAUUGACACGAUGACAUUCAAAAUUAGAGCUAAGGGUCAUUUGUGCAUAAUUCCUUAGAGUUAAGGAACAGAUUGAACUAUAUAUCCUUAGAGUUAAGGAUUGAUCAUACUUGCUAUGAGUUCCGUGCUCGAGGGCGGUCGCUCCCCCUCG